rnacentral:rRNA from 1 species
AUCACGGAGAGUUUGAUCCUGGCUCAGGACGAACGCUGGCGGCGUGCUUUAUACAUGCAAGUCGAACGAGGACCGGGUGCUUGCACCUGGAGCCGAGUGGCGAACGGGUGAGUAACACGUGACCAAUCUGCCCUUGGGAGAGGGACAACCUGGGGAAACCCGGGCUAAUACCGCAUGACGUGCGGCCAUCACAUGGUGGCGGCACCAAAGGGGGGCCUCUACUUGUAAGCUCUCGCCCAGGGAGGAGGUCGCGGCGUAUCAGCUUG